UAUGCGUAAUUUAAAAAAAAUGUCAAGCCGUGACCUUGCCUAUAGGAACCCUUCCUCGCACACC
rnacentral:tRNA from 1 species